rnacentral:rRNA from 1 species
CUAAGGUAGCAUAAUCAUUUGUUAUUUAAUUGGUGACUGGAAUGAAAGGUUAAACUAAUUUAUUAGGUUUGUGAGGCUGAGUAGGAUCUUAAAGUUAAGGUAAGAAUUCUUUAAUUUUCUAGGGGACGAUAAGACCCUAGAAGCUUAACGAGCAUAAUGGUUUGUUUUAGAAGUUUGUUUGUUUUACUGGGGCGGUAAAAGUAAUUAAGCUAUUAUUUGUUACUUAAAGGAUCCUUUAAAUAAAGAUAGAGUGGAUAAGUUACUCUAGGGAUAA